GCGGCUAUGGUGUAACGGCAACACAGGAGCUUGUGGAGCUCUUAUCACGGGUUCAACUCCCGUUAGCCGCCCCA
rnacentral:tRNA from 1 species